AGUCGANCGGUAGAGGGGGCAACCCCUCGAGAGUGGCGAACGGGUGAGUAAUAUAUCGGAACGUGCCCAGUCGUGGGGGAUAACGUAGCGAAAGUUACGCUAAUACCGCAUACGAUCUACGGAUGAAAGCGGGGGAUCGCAAGACCUCGCGCGAUUGGAGCGGCCGAUAUCAGAUUAGGUAGUUGGUGGGGUAAAGGCUCACCAAGCCAACGAUCUGUAGCUGGUCUGAGAGGACGACCAGCCACACUGGAACUGAGACACGGUCCAGACUCCUACGGGAGGCAGCAGUGGGGAAUUUUGGACAAUGGACGCAAGUCUGAUCCAGCCAUUCCGCGUGCAGGAUGAAGGCCCUCGGGUUGUAAACUGCUUUUGUACGGAACGAAAAGGUCUCUCUUAAUACGGGGGGCUCAUGACGGUACCGUAAGAAUAAGCACCGGCUAACUACGUGCCAGCAGCCGCGGUAAUACGUAGGGUGCAAGCGUUAAUCGGAAUUACUGAGCGUAAAGCGUGCGCAGGCGGUUAUGUAAGACAGAGGUGAAAUCCCCGGGCUCAACCUGGGAACUGCCUUUGUGACUGCAUAGCUAGGGUACGGUAGAGGGGGAUGGAAUUCCGCGUGUAGCAGUGAAAUGCAUGGAUAUGCGGAGGAACACCGAUGGCGAANGCAAUCCCCUGNACCUGUACUGACGCUCAUGCACGAAAGCGUGGGGAGCAAACAGGAUUAGAUACCCUGNUAGUCCACGCCCUAAACGAUGUCAACUGGNUNGUUGGGUCUUCACUGACUCAGUAACGAAGCUAACGCGUGAAGUUGACCGCCUGGGGAGUACGGCCGCAAGGUUGAAACUCAAANGNANUGANGGGGACCCGCACAAGCG
rnacentral:rRNA from 1 species